rnacentral:rRNA from 1 species
UACAGAGGUCUCGAGCGUUAGGCGGAAUCACUGGGCUUAAAGCGUGUGUAGGCGGAUCGUUAAGUGCCUUGUGAAAUCCCACGGCUCAACCGUGGAACUGCUUGGCAUACUGGCGGUCUUGAGCAACCUAGGGGCGAGCGGAACAAAUGGUGGAGCGGUGAAAUGCGUAGAUAUCAUUUGGAACGCCAAUGGUGAAAACAGCUCGCUGGGGGUUCGCUGACGCUGAGACACGAAAGCCAGGGGAGCAAACGGG